rnacentral:lncRNA from 1 species
GGUUUGUAAUCCAAGUGAGAAUAUAUACAUUUUAAGACCUAACCAGGAACGACUGCGAAAAAUGCAGCACAAGGUCCUCUGGUAGGAAUUGAACCUACGGCCCUGCGAUUCCGGUGCAGCGCUCUAACCAACUGAGCUACAGAGGCCAGCUGUUGAGCUGUAACCGUAAGUUGAUGUAUAUAUAGGUAAUCGGGUGUGCGGGUUGUGAUAAGGUGGACUUGAAUGACUUAGAUUCUUGCACUUCACUUGGUGGAAUUAAUAUUAGGA